AUGACGGAGUGGAAACCCCUAUUAUAAUGGCGGGGUAUAUAUACAGAGGUGCAUACCAUAGUAUGCUGUUUCAACCAUGAGUGCAGAAGAAUGCCAAAGAAUGCCACGGACGCGCCUAUGUAUCAGGGCACCCUCGGUCUCACCGGAGAAGUAACCACUUUGUUUACAACAACAUCAACAACAACAACAACGGUGACGACAUUUACAACAACAAUGUACAACAUGGGGCAGAAAUAUGACGAGGGGGUGCUACAUCUCGUGGCUGUCAUCUCCAGUGUUGUGGUAUUCGUGGGGCUAGUGCUCGCCAUCAAGUCUAUCGUCGGUUUCCUCAAGAGACUCAACAGAAGGGAAGGGGACCUGCGUGGUAUGGCAUACAGUUAAAGUAGUAGCCCGUAUACACAAGAUCCAUUGUGCUGAAUAAAGUAGCAUACAUUUACUAGUAGAAAUAUUCACAGAGAUAACACCCGACCUGGCUCUUCUUUUCUCCAGUGGUUAAGAGACGAACCCCCGCCAUAUCCCGGUAAAUAUUCCCGGACUAACGUGAAUUACCUCCCCUCGUAUCUGUCCGCGAUAGAGAUGGAACAGGAACGACAACGGCAGGAAACGGCGACAAUGAGCCAGCCGGCGCGUGAUUUACCGGAAGUGAGUAGUGAGAGUAGCGUCAUAAUGUUUACUGCUCCAGAAGAUGGCGUCGUCUGUCUGAAAGAUUCCAGAAAUUCAGAUUCUCAAACAUUUAGUCAGAGUAGAGUGAAUGAAACCAGCACAACUGUUGAAAAUGUUAUCAACGAGUUCUUGAUAGCGAACCAAAGAGACGAGGAAGACGCACAGUUAGAGGAGAACAGGUUACGAGCACCCACCGCCAUGGAUAUUACUCCAGCAGUUGACAACCGUGUGACUUUGGAUUGAGACAAAACAGUAGUUGUAGGAACAUUUAACACAACUGUGAUACAAUUAGAAAAGAAUCUUAUUGGUACGAUUGUUUCGGUUGCGUGCACAAAGGUAGUGAUUGUCAUGAAUGUACGCAGGUUAUAAAAACUGACGCUGAAUGAUGGUGUGUUGAUAUUGUGACAUCACAUACGUACCUUACAAUGUUUUUGCACCUAUUCUCACACUCCAAGUGCCAUACAUUCGAUUCUGAACACUGUGUAUUUAUCUGCGUAUGUAUUUGUGUAUGUAUUCAUUUAUCUUAGUUUUUACAUAUGUUUUUACAUAAAUUAUCCAAAGUGAUGAAGCCAGUGGGU
rnacentral:misc_RNA from 1 species